rnacentral:rRNA from 1 species
AGCAGCCGCGGUAAUUCCAGCUCCAAUAGCGUAUAUUAAAGUUGUUGCAGUUAAAAAGCUCGUAGUUGAAUUUCGGGGUUAGUAGGUUGGUCGUGCCACUGGUAUGCACUGGCCUCACUGAUUCCUCCUUCUUAUAGAACCGUAAUGCCAUUAGUUUGGUGUUGCGGGGAAACAGGACUGUUACUUUGAAAAAAUUAGAGUGUUUAAAGCAGGCUAACGCCUGAAUACAUUAGCAUGGAAUAAUGAAAUAGGACGUUCGAUCCUAUUUUGUUGGUUUCUAGGAUUGACGUAAUGAUUAAUAGGGAUAGUUGGGGGCAUUAGUAUUCAAUUGUCAGAGGUGAAAUUCUUGGAUUUAUUGAAGACUAACUACUGCGAAAGCAUUUGCCAAGGAUGUUUUCAUUAAUCAAGAACGAAAGUUAGGGGAUCGAAGACGAUCAGAUACCGUCGUAGUCUUAACCAUAAACUAUGCCGACUAGGGAUCGGAUGAUGUUAAUUUUUAAUGACUCAUUCGGCGCCUUAC